UACGUAGGGGGCGAGCGUUGUCCGGAAUCAUUGGGCGUAAAGGGUGCGUAGGUGGCCAUGAAAGUUUGAUGUGAAAUCUCCGGGCUUAACCCGGAAAAUGCAUUGAAUACUCUGUGGCUGGAGGUUUGGAGGGGGGACUGGAAUUCUCGGUGUAGCAGUGAAAUGCGUAGAUAUCGAGAGGAACACCAGUGGCGAAGGCGGGUCCCUGGACAACACCUGACACUGAGGCACGAAAGCUAGGGGAGCAAACAGG
rnacentral:rRNA from 1 species